GAUCAUGGCUNAGACGACGCUGGCGGCGCGCCUAACACAUGCAAGUCGAACGAGCGAGAGAGAGCUUGCUUUCUCAAGCGAGCGGCGGACGGGUGAGUAACGCGUGGGUAACCUGCCUCAUACAGGGGGAUAACAGUUAGAAAUGGCUGCUAAUACCGCAUAAGACCACAGCACCGCAUGGUGCAGGGGUAAAAACUCCGGUGGUAUGAGAUGGACCCGCGUCUGAUUAGCUAGUUGGUGGGGUAACGGCCUACCAAGGCGACGAUCAGUAGCCGACCUGAGAGGGUGACCGGCCACAUUGGGACUGAGACACGGCCCAAACUCCUACGGGAGGCAGCAGUGGGGAAUAUUGCACAAUGGGCGAAAGCCUGAUGCAGCGACGCCGCGUGAAGGAUGAAGUAUUUCGGUAUGUAAACUUCUAUCAGCAGGGAAGAAAAUGACGGUACCUGACUAAGAAGCCCCGGCUAACUACGUG
rnacentral:rRNA from 1 species